GGCUCAGAUUGAACGCUGGCGGCAUGCCUUACACAUGCAAGCCGAACGGCAGCACGGACUUCGGUCUGGUGGCGAGUGGCGAACGGGUGAGUAAUGUAUCGGAACGUACCUUUCAGUGGGGAUAACGUAGCGAAAGUUACGCUAAUACCGCAUAUUCUGUGAGCAGGAAAGCAGGGGAUCGCAAGACCUUGCGCUGAUUGAGCGGCCGAUAUCAGAUUAGCUAGUUGGUGAGGUAAAGGCUCACCAAGGCGACGAUCUGUAGCGGGUCUGAGAGGAUGAUCCGCCACACUGGAACUGAGACACGGUCCAGACUCCUACGGGAGGCAGCAGUGGGGAAUUUUGGACAAUGGGGGCAACCCUGAUCCAGCCAUGCCGCGUGAGUGAAGAAGGCCUUCGGGUUGUAAAGCUCUUUCGGCCGGGAAGAAAUCGCAUGGGCUAAUACCCUGUGCGGAUGACGGUACCGGCAUAAGAAGCACCGGCUAACUACGUG
rnacentral:rRNA from 1 species